rnacentral:tRNA from 1 species
GUCAGGAUGGCCGAGUGGUCUAAGGCGCUGUGUUCAGGUCGCAGUCCAGUACUCUGGGCGAGGGUUCGAAUCCCUCUUCUGACA